GGGGGGGGGGGCCCAGGGAGCCCCCUCUCUCCGGCCACACGCCGGGCCUGCUGGGACCAGGCUGCAGGCCACGCGCCCCGUCAGGAGCCACAGGCUGAGGGGGGAAGGGCGUGCGUGGGCAGGCCUCCCCCCCCCACUUCCCCUCCCCGUGCCUGGGUCACUGCGGCCCCUUCUGAAGAGCGGCCUGGAACGUUCCACCAAACGUUUGCUUCCGCCAGACGGGCCCGCGGGCGCUCUCGGCCCCUGGCGCGCCUCGUCAUCCCCGAUGCUUCACGGUCAGCUGGCCUCCGGGCGGGGCUCGGCCUCCUCGGAGCAGUAGCGCUGCUGAGUGGUGGCCACAUGUGCAGCUCCCCCGAGAAGACCUUCAAACUCGGGUUCUUUCGGCAAUUUAAGAACAUUGCAGGAAGAUUUUUAAAGUACCGUCUGCGACCUAAGCCAGUCUGUAGAGAGCGGUACUUUGCGCCACGAGAAGGGAUUCCCAGCUGAAGACAACAGCCGCGAGCCGCGUGAGAAAGAGUCACAACGGCCCGUGUGCCCUCGACCCCGUUCACGCAAAACCCGGACCCAGGUGAAUCCGGUGGGGGGGCGGCAGCCGAGGGCGCGGACGGCCGACGAAGACGUCCUAAACUGACCGUGGCGACGCUUGCACAAUGCUGGGAACACGCUGAGACCCCUGCUUCUUCGACUUACUCAGCACAAACAGCCAAUGAGUGAAGGACGAGCUUCUGUGAAGGAAUGCGGGGGAGCCGCCCGGGGGUGUUGGCUGUGAGGCCGCAGAGAAAUGACACACACGGUCCCGUGGCUGGAGACAGGGUCACCUUACAGCUCCAGGGCUAGAGCGCAGGCACCAGCCCUCCACUGCACAGCUGCUCUCGUCUGGCCCCGUCACCUACUGCCACACGGCGAGCCCCCCUGCCCCUCCCCCUCCCCCACUGGCCUCUGGUACCCAUCAUAGCUGGUGGCCAGAGGAAGGUCAGGGAGGGUCACCAAGCUCCAAGCUGGCUGGCCCCUCACGGCCUUCUUCGUGCUCCCGAUGGCAGAGGCCACCUCCCCUGAGUGGGGCAUGUGUGUGUGUGUGAACGUGAGUGUGCACAGGUCACGUGGGUGUGGGUGUGGAUGUGCACGUGCAUGUGCGUGUGCGUGGGCAGGGCUCUUGUGAAACCUGGAGCCCCGUAUGACAAUUCAGGGCAAAUUAUACUCCACCGAGAGCAGAGAAAUGUGGAAAUAUUUCUCAACUGAGGCUUUUAGAUAAUGUAUUGAUACAUUCUGUCUAAACCGGGCAAGGCGGGUUACUUGUACAAAAUUAUGUUUCAAAUUCCCUCAACUAAAUCUCUAGCUUCUGAGAUGUCUGGCGUGUAACUCACAUAAUAGAGAUUUUAUUCAAAGCCAUGAAAAUAGCUUGUAUCUUGUCACCGAUACUUUUAAAAUAAAAACUGCAUAUAGA